rnacentral:sRNA from 1 species
GCCAGGCACGCUGGCGUGUGCCUGUCAUCCCAGCAGCUCAGGAGGCUGAGGCAGGAGGAUCAGCCUCAGCAAUGGCGAGGCACUAAGAACCUCAGUGGGACCCUGUCUCUA